GGGUUGUGAGGUUAAGCGACUAAGCGUACACGGUGGAUGCCCUGGCAGUCAGAGGCGAUGAAGGGCGUGCUAAUCUGCGAUAAGCGCCGGUAAGGUGAUAUGAACCGUUAUAACCGGCGAUACCCGAAUGGGGAAACCCAGUGUGACUCGUCACACUAUCAUUAACUGAAUCCAUAGGUUAAUGAGGCGAACCGGGGGAACUGAAACAUCUAAGUACCCCGAGGAAAAGAAAUCAACCGAGAUUCCCCCAGUAGCGGCGAGCGAACGGGGAGGAGCCCAGAGCCUGAAUCAGCAUGUGUGUUAGUGGAAGCGUCUGGAAAGUCGCGCGAUACAGGGUGACAGCCCCGUACACAAAAGCGCAUGUGCUGUGAGCUCGAUGAGUAGGGCGGGACACGUGGUAUCCUGUCUGAAUAUGGGGGGACCAUCCUCCAAGGCUAAAUACUCCUGACUGACCGAUAGUGAACCAGUACCGUGAGGGAAAGGCGAAAAGAACCCCGGCGAGGGGAGUGAAAAAGAACCUGAAACCGUGUACGUACAAGCAGUGGGAGCCCCACCACCAAAGCAUUCUCUGGUGUUGAAGGCCCUGCAAAGCAGCAUCGCGGUGGCGGAGCGUCGUUUGCGACGCCCAACACACAAAACAAGCGAUGAGUGCUUUGGGGUGGGGUGACUGCGUACCUUUUGUAUAAUGGGUCAGCGACUUAUAUUCUGUAGCAAGGUUAACCGAAUAGGGGAGCCGCAGGGAAACCGAGUCUUAAU
rnacentral:rRNA from 1 species